UACGUAGGGUGCGAGCGUUAAUCGGAAUACUGGGCGUAAAGCGUGCGCAGGCGGUUGGUUAAGUCUGAUGUGAAAGCCCCGGGCUCAACCUGGGAAUGGCAUUGGAAACUGGCUGGCUAGAGUGUGGCAGAGGGGGGUGGAAUUCCGCGUGUAGCAGUGAAAUGCGUAGAGAUGCGGAGGAACACCGAUGGCGAAGGCAGCCCCCUGGGCUGACACUGACGCUCAGGCACGAAAGCGUGGGGAGCAAACAGG
rnacentral:rRNA from 1 species